GACGAACGCUGGCGGCGUGCUUAACACAUGCAAGUCGAACGGAAAGGCCCUGCUUUUGUGGGGUGCUCGAGUGGCGAACGGGUGAGUAACACGUGAGUAACCUGCCCUUGACUUUGGGAUAACUUCAGGAAACUGGGGCUAAUACCGGAUAGGAGCUCCUGCUGCAUGGUGGGGGUUGGAAAGUUUCGGCGGUUGGGGAUGGACUCGCGGCUUAUCAGCUUGUUGGUGGGGUAGUGGCUUACCAAGGCUUUGACGGGUAGCCGGCCUGAGAGGGUGACCGGCCACAUUGGGACUGAGAUACGGCCCAGACUCCUACGGGAGGCAGCAGUGGGGAAUAUUGCACAAUGGGCGGAAGCCUGAUGCAGCAACGCCGCGUGCGGGAUGACGGCCUUCGGGUUGUAAACCGCUUUCGCCUGUGACGAAGCGUGAGUGACGGUAAUGGGUAAAGAAGCACCGGCUAACUACGUGCCAGCAGCCGCGGUGAUACGUAGGGUGCGAGCGUUGUCCGGAUUUAUUGGGCGUAAAGGGCUCGUAGGUGGUUGAUCGCGUCGGAAGUGUAAUCUUGGGGCUUAACCCUGAGCGUGCUUUCGAUACGGGUUGACUUGAGGAAGGUAGGGGAGAAUGGAAUUCCUGGUGGAGCGGUGGAAUGCGCAGAUAUCAGGAGGAACACCAGUGGCGAAGGCGGUUCUCUGGGCCUUUCCUGACGCUGAGGAGCGAAAGCGUGGGGAGCGAACAGGCUUAGAUACCCUGGUAGUCCACGCUGUAAACGGUGGGUACUAGGUGUGGGGUCCAUUCCACGGGUUCCGUGCCGUAGCUAACGCUUUAAGUACCCCGCCUGGGGAGUACGGCCGCAAGGCUAAAACUCAAAGGAAUUGACGGGGCCCCGCACAAGCGGCGGAGCAUGCGGAUUAAUUCGAUGCAACGCGUAGAACCUUACCUGGGUUUGACAUGGAUCGGGAGUGCUCAGAGAUGGGUGUGCCUCUUUUGGGGUCGGUUCACAGGUGGUGCAUGGCUGUCGUCAGCUCGUGUCGUGAGAUGUUGGGUUAAGUCCCGCAACGAGCGCAACCCUUGUUCACUGUUGCCAGCACGUUAUGGUGGGGACUCAGUGGAGACCGCCGGGGUCAACUCGGAGGAAGGUGGGGAUGACGUCAAGUCAUCAUGCCCCUUAUGUCCAGGGCUUCACGCAUGCUACAAUGGCUGGUACAGAGAGUGGCGAGCCUGUGAGGGUGAGCGAAUCUCGGAAAGCCGGGCUCAGUUCGGAUUGGGGUCUGCAGCUCGACCUCAUGAAGUCGGAGUCGCUAGUAAUCGCAGAUCAGCAACGCUGCGGUGAAUACGUUCCCGGG
rnacentral:rRNA from 1 species